UCGCCUGUGGAGGAACCUGCGUUCGAUUAGCUAGUUGGUGGGGUAAAGGCCUACCAAGGCGAUGAUCGAUAGCUGGUUUGAGAGGAUGAUCAGCCACACUGGGACUGAGACACGGCCCAGACUCCUACGGGAGGCAGCAGUGGGGAAUAUUGGACAAUGGGCGAAAGCCUGAUCCAGCAAUGCCGCGUGUGUGAAGAAGGUCUUCGGAUUGUAAAGCACUUUCGACGGGGACGAUGAUGACGGUACCCGUAGAAGAAGCCCCGGCUAACUUCGUGCCAGCAGCCGCGGUAAUACGAAGGGGGCUAGCGUUGCUCGGAAUGACUGGGCGUAAAGGGCGCGUAGGCGGUUGUUACAGUCAGAUGUGAAAUCCCCGGGCUUAACCUGGGAACUGCAUUUGAUACGUGACGACUAGAGUUCGAGAGAGGGUUGUGGAAUUCCCAGUGUAGAGGUGAAAUUCGUAGAUAU
rnacentral:rRNA from 1 species